rnacentral:rRNA from 1 species
AAUAUUGGUCAAUGGACGCAAGUCUGAACCAGCCAUGCCGCGUGGAGGAUGAAGGCCUUCUGGGUUGUAAACUUCUUUUAUUGGGGAAGAAAAGCACGGUUUCUACUGUGUCCGACGGUACCCAAGGAAUAAGCACCGGCUAACUCCGUGCCAGCAGCCGCGGUAAUACGGAGGGUGCAAGCGUUAUCCGGAUUCACUGGGUUUAAGGGGUGUGUAGGCGGGCUGUUAAGUCAGUGGUGAAAUCUCCGGGCUCAACCCGGAAACUGCCAUUGAUACUAUCAGUCUUGAAUUUUGUUGAGGUAGGCGGAAUAUGUCAUGUAGCGGUGAAAUGCUUAGAUAUGACAUAGAACACCGAUUGCGAAGGCAGCUUACUAAGCAAAUAUUGACGCUGAGGCACGAAAGCGUGGGGAUCAAACAGG